rnacentral:rRNA from 1 species
GAACGCUGGCGGAAUGCUUUACACAUGCAAGUCGAACGGCAGCACGGAGAGCUUGCUCUCUGGUGGCGAGUGGCGAACGGGUGAGUAAUAUAUCGGAACGUGUCCAAUAAUGGGGGAUAACGAGUCGAAAGAUUCGCUAAUACCGCAUACGCCUACGGGGAAAGGCAGGGAGUCGUAAGACCUUGCGUUAAUGGAGCGGCCGAUAUCUGAUUAGCUUGUUGGUGAGGUAAAGGCUCACCAAGGCGACGAUCAGUAGCUGGUUUGAGAGAGCGACCAGCCACACUGGAACUGAGACACGGUCCAGACUCCUACGGGAGGCAGCAGUGGGGAAUUUUGGACAAUGGGGGCAACCCUGAUCCAGCCAUUCCGCGUGAGUGAAGAAGGCCUUCGGUGUAAGCUCUUCGUCAAGGAGAAACGUAAUGAUCGAUAAUCAUGAGUUGACGGUACCUGAUAGAAGCACGGCUACUACGUGCCAG